rnacentral:rRNA from 1 species
AACGACCAUACCACUUUGAAAACACCGGUUCUCGUCCGAUCACCGCAGUUAAGCAAUGUUGGGCAUGGUUAGUACUUGGAUGGGUGACCGCCUGGGAACACCACGUGCUGUU